GAGAAAGAGACUAACCUAUUUCGUGAAUUCUCCUUCGUCGCUACCAAAAGUCUCAUCUUCUCUCAUUUUCGACGACCGCCGGAAUCUCGAACGCCUCCACCGGAAAAUUCGAUCUCCUCCGGUAUCUCAAACCACUGCCUCCACGAUUCCACGAUUCCUCGACUCAACCCCAAAGUUCUCUGGCCUUCCCGAUCUCUGGCCUUCCCGAUCUCUGGCCUUCCCAAUCUCUGGCCUUCCCAAUCUCCGUCGGAAUCCUCUUUUCUCUCUGCUUCAUCGUGUUCUAGAGUUUCCAGAAAAUGGGAGAUUCGUUUCCAAUUGAUCUCACACUGCCAAAGCUUCUGUACAAUAUAGGACAUGAGCCAAAUUCAGAUGUUAGGAUAAAUCAAUGUGCAAGAUAUGAGUAUAUUGAUAAAGUACAACGCAUCCUCUCUGCUACAGAGUUUCAGAGAAUUGGAUAUUUCUCCAAGCUGCGUGAUAUAGAUUCAGAAGACAUCAGAAACAAGUUGGCUAUGGAUAUCUUCAAUGAGUGUGAUAAGAUUUCUUAGGACUAUGUUUCUUUAUUGGAUGUAUGAUGCUUGUGAAACCAUUUUAGACUGUUUUGGUACUUCUAUGAUGGUUCUGAACUAGAAAAGUAUCAUCUGUUUCUAUUUAUAUUUUUUUGAGAUAUUCAAUAUAUGGUAUUUUGUCAGAUACCAUAUGUUUCCUACA